rnacentral:rRNA from 1 species
GACGAACGCUGGCGGCGUGCUUAACACAUGCAAGUCGAACGGAAAGGCCUCUUUCGGGGGGUACUCGAGUGGCGAACGGGUGAGUAACACGUGAGUAACCUGCCCUUGACUUUGGGAUAACUUCCGGAAACUGGGGCUAAUACCGGAUAGGAGCUCCUGCUGCAUGGUGGGGGUUGGAAAGUUUCGGCGGUUGGGGAUGGACUCGCGGCUUAUCAGCUUGUUGGUGGGGUAGUGGCUUACCAAGGCUUUGACGGGUAGCCGGCCUGAGAGGGUGACCGCCCACAUUGGGACUGAGAUACGGCCCAGACUCCUACGGGAGGCAGCAGUGGGGAAUAUUGCACAAUGGGUGGAAGCCUGAUGCAGCAACGCCGUGUGCGGGAUGACGGCCUUCGGGUUGUAAACCGCUUUCGCUCAUGACGAAGCUUUGUGUGACGGUAGUGGGUAAAGAAGCACCGGCUAACUACGUG